UUCUUCUUCCCAAUUACGGAUCUGUGCCCAGCGGUCCCUUGCUCCCUUGCUUUUGCGGAAGUCCAAGGUCGAUUGCUGUGCAGCUCGAUAAUCUAUGGAGCCAUCAACUCGCUAUGGUGUCAAUGUCCUAUCGACAGGUCCAAGAAUGACUGGUAUAGCCGUCCGGAUCGGUCGUCGAAAGAUGACUUGAGCCAGGCGGUUGCCAAAGGCUUCAUAUUCCGCCCCUUUUUUCCGAGACCGUCGGUCCGUGAGGUUGAGGCAAACCAUGAAGCAUGACUACAUUC
rnacentral:sRNA from 1 species